rnacentral:rRNA from 1 species
GAUGAACGCUGGCGGCGUGCUUAACACAUGCAAGUCGAACGAAGCAUUUGCGACAGAUUUUUUCGGAAUGAAGUUGCUUAUGACUGAGUGGCGGACGGGUGAGUAACGCGUGGGUAACCUGCCUUGUACUGGGGGAUAGCAGCUGGAAACGGCUGGUAAUACCGCAUAAGCGCACAAUGUUGCAUGACAUGGUGUGAAAAACUCCGGUGGUAUAAGAUGGACCCGCGUCUGAUUAGCUAGUUGGUGAGAUAACAGCCCACCAAGGCGACGAUCAGUAGCCGACCUGGGAGGGUGACCGGCCACAUUGGGACUGGGACACGGCCCAGACUCCUACGGGAGGCAGCAGUGGGGAAUAUUGCACAAUGGAGGAAACUCUGAUGCAGCGACGCCGCGUGAGUGAAGAAGUAAUUCGUUAUGUAAAGCUCUAUCAGCAGGGAAGAUAGUGACGGUACCUUACUAAGAAGCUCCGGCUAAAUACGUG